CUGUUUGCGGAUGGAGCAUCAUCAAGAUUCACAAGUAUUGAGACUCAGUGCGUGGUGGUGAUGGUGACUUUUGUGGUCCCUUCCUACACUCCGAUGGCUCUUUGAUGUGGGAAUCUUGAUGAUGCUGCAGCGGCAAUAAA
rfam:Vitis vinifera, whole genome shotgun sequence of line PN40024, unoriented chromosome 13, chr13